rnacentral:rRNA from 1 species
UACGUAGGGGGCAAGCGUUGUCCGGAUUUAUUGGGCGUAAAGAGCGUGUAGGCGGCCAGGUAGGUCCGCUGUGAAAACUCGAGGCUCAACCUCGAGAUGUCGGCGGAAACCAUCUGGCUAGAGUCCGGGAAGAGGAAAGUGGAAUUCCCGGUGUAGCGGUGAAAUGCGCAGAUAUCGGGAAGAACACCCGUGGCGAAGGCGGCUUUCUGGGACGGUACUGACGCUGAGACGCGAAAGCGUGGGGAGCGAACAGG